AUGGCUGAAGCUUUGGCGUUAAAAUUUGGCCUAUCGCUUGCGCAAAGGACAGGUUGUAAUCGCAUAAUUAUUAACUCGGAUAAUAUGGAGGUGAUCGAGACCAUGAACGAAGGAGGACGCUCGUCGGGGGCAGGAGCUGCAAUUUUUGAUGACUGUUUUCAUUUAGCUUGCGAUUUUCCUAUUUCUAGAUUCGAGCAUUGUAAUAGAGAAGCAAAUAAAGUUUCUCAUGAACUUGCCAAGUUGGCUAGAUUUCAUAUUUCUGAUUGGUUUGAGGAACCACAUAAUGCAAUUGUACCAAUCCUCAUAAACGAUGUAAUGAUUAUUUCUAAUGAAUAA
rnacentral:rRNA from 1 species